rnacentral:rRNA from 1 species
GACGAACGCUGGCGGCGUGCCUAAUACAUGCAAGUUGAGCGCUGAAGGUUGGUACUUGUACCAACUGGAUGAGCAGCGAACGGGUGAGUAACGCGUGGGGAAUCUGCCUUUGAGCGGGGGACAACAUUUGGAAACGAAUGCUAAUACCGCAUAAAAACUUUAAACACAAGUUUUAAGUUUGAAAGAUGCAAUUGCAUCACUCAAAGAUGAUCCCGCGUUGUAUUAGCUAGUUGGUGAGGUAAAGGCUCACCAAGGCGAUGAUACAUAGCCGACCUGAGAGGGUGGUCGGCCACAAUGGGACUGGGACACGGCCCAAACUCCUACGGGAGGCAGCAGUAGGGGAUCUUCGGCAAUGGACGGAAGUCUGACCGAGCAACGCCGCGUGAGUGGAGAAGGUUUUCGGAUCGUAAAACUCUGUUGGUAGAGAAGAACGUUGGUGAGAGUGGAAAGCUCAUCAAGUGACGGUAACUACCCAGAAAGGGACGGCUAACUACGUG